rnacentral:lncRNA from 1 species
GGGUGAGUAGCGCUAGCCCCUGCCUCAGAAUCUGCAUAAAAUAUACCGAAAUGUAGGAUUAGUACAAUAAUCAUGUGUACCCAUUAAGUAUUAAGUCUAACAUCGAAGAAGUAGUAGCGAGGCAUCGAUAAUGACACUUAUUAAUAGCCCAAUAAUCAAGAUAACAUCAUAAAUAAGCGAGAAAUAUGGCAUAAUAUCAUUAAACAAGUACAAGAGAUAAAAGAGCAAAUAUCAUAAAGAAUUAGACAUACUUUUCUGACAUAAGAGUUCAAAACUGAAUAUUAAACAUGCAUCUAAGGUAAAGAGCCAAGUAAGGAACGAAAGGCAUCAACAAUAACAUGUAAACAAGAUACUUAUCAAUUUAGCAUUUUAUAUGCAUGCUUCUAGAUGUGUCUAGGAUGUCUAUGCAUACUUUGGACUCACUCUCAAUACAACGCAAACACAAAUUUAUGUGCCUGACAUAAGUCCAUGUGUCCAACCAAGCACCAAUCUGAGUGCCUACGCUCACAAGGCUAGUAUUAACCAUGGGCAAUCACCUGAUUCCGAAGGGAUGGAUCCAAAUCCGAGCGUCGAUCCAAUCAAAUAGAUCGCAAGCAAUAAUUUAUAUCCGCUCAUAGUGUCCAUAGGGUCAAAAGUCCUCAAAUCUCUCAACAAUAUCCAACUUCCAACUUAAGUGUAUGCACAUGAGAUAAUAUAAUAAGUUACACCAUGACAAUAAAAUAGAGAUUGCAGAUAAAUGUUUACAAGAAUAAGAGAUAUCUACGGCUAAUCAUGUAAAACAACAUAUCUCAAAAGCCCAAAAUACUCAUUACAUAAUUAUACUUCUAAUCAUGGUCUUUAACUUGAAUAAAAAUAGCCAAGUAGCCCUGGAAGCCAAAGAAGCAUGUGAAAGUAACUCAUUUGAUCCAAACAAGGCAUAUUAAAGGCUUAAGCUACCCGGACAUGGUAAAAAAAUAUAAGCACAAGUAUAUACUCUUGUUGCCUCGCAUAUACGUAGCUUCCAAUACAAAUAACACAUAACACAUAGCACAUAAGUCACUUAGGGGAAAAAUUCUCUCUUACAAGGUUAAACAAGAGACUUACCUUCUGCCGAUAAAGCUUUAACCCUCAAAUACUGCUUUUCCUUUAAAAUCCUCAAUCAAACAACUAAAACCUAUCCAAAUACGGUCUAAGAAAGUCAAAUAAUGCUAAAGAAAAUACGCCAAUCAAUAAAGCUUCAAUCUUUGGUGAAUUCUCAAUAGUCAACAAAAAGUCAACCCUGGCACACUUGGUCCAAAUCCAAAAAACGGGACUGAUUCUCAAUUACUCAUUCAUCCCCGAAUCCAAAUAUGUAAUUAGAUUCAACAUCCAACCUCAAAUUAAGGUCCCAAAUUUCAAAAUUCACUCUCUUAAGUUCAGAUCCAAAAACUCAUUAUCUACACUUUAAAAUGCUUGCUAUAGGGGUUAAAUCUAUGGGGAAUUAUGAUAAUAAGUCAAAACUUAGUUAAAAUUACUAACCUUUGAAGUUGAGGUAAAAUUCCUCUAAUAAAUUGCCCCAAUCCAUGGUCUAGGUCUCAAAAAUGGUGAAAAUGGCUAAAUCCGAAUUUUUAACACUAUUUAUACCCCUGGGCUCGAGGUGCAUCGUGUUUGCGACACCCUUGUCGCAUUCGCGAAGGUCAGUGCUGGAAGCCUUCGAGUUCAUAAAGGUCAUUUCCCCAAACCUUCCGCGUUGGCGUAGGGUAAUUUCCUGAUGAGCCCAAACACCCUAUGUGAUUGCGAGACCUCCUCCGCGAUCGCGAAGCACUGCAUACCAGCAGAAGAAUAUUGCUGCGAUGAGUGCAAAAAUAUUCGAAAAACAAUCCGAAACUCACCCGAGCCGCUCCAAUUAUCCUAACUAGUCAAUGUAGUCUAUUCAAACUUGCUCGAGAGAUCAUAACAUAAAAAACAACUUCGACGAGAAGUGCCGAAAUGACCACAGGUCACCGAGGCCCAAACCAAACAUAAUACAAGAUCAAAUCAUACGAAACUAAAGGAACCAUCAAAAUAUCAAUUCGGGAUUAUUUACUAAGAAUGUUGACCUUGGUCAACUAUAGCAACUUAGGUUUCUAAAAAGAGAAUUCUUCUUUUAAAAUACACCCGGACUUCUUGAAAUUAAAAUCAACCACACACGCCAUAAAACAUCAAAUGAAGCUACUCAAGUCUUGGAUCACAAAACGGAGUGCUAAAACUCAAAACAACUAAUUGGGUCGAUACAAUUCUCAACUUCAUUUUCUUCUUGAUCAGGAGUAUUAAUAUUUUGAGGAGCAAGUAUAUCUAGUUCAUCAACAGUUAUGUUAUUGUCUUUUGGAAAGAAACUGCAACAAUGUGAACUGAUUCCUCCACACGUAAGGUUCUUUUGUUGAAUAAUCUGUAUGAUCUGCUAGAUAUGGGGAAAUCCAUAAAUAUUCCUUCAUCACUUCUUGGAUCAAGCUUUCCGAGAUUGUUCUUACCGUUGUUGAGUAUGAAAUACUUGCUAACAAAGGCGAUGAAAGUAGCUGACAUUUGACUUCUUUCCUUUUCAUAACUCAUAUGGAGUUUUCUUAAGAAUUAGUAUGAUUAAACAUCGAUUUAAAAUGUGUCAAGUCGUACUUACAGAUUCAGCCCAAAAUUAGGUUGGGAUAGAACUUUCUACAAACAUAGUUCUCGCCAUGUCUUGUAAUAAUCUGUUCUUUCUUUCUACAACUACAUUUGCUUCCUUUUGGCUUCCAUACCCAACUCACUCUCACCUUUCUCUUUUGUUUUUUGAUACAAUCACUAUACAAGAUUAUAGUGCUUAAUAGAAAAUAAAAGAGAAUACUAUAGGCAAGGAAAAGCUAGACGUUGUGGCCUUUCCCCAAUAUCUUCAAUGAUUUGAAUGAGCCCGCUCC